rnacentral:lncRNA from 1 species
CCGCAUGGGGGUGACCGCCCCCGCAAAAUUAUAGAGGAGCAAACAUACAGCAGCCUCUUUUCCGGCUCGAUUAAAGGUUCUGGGCCAAUAUGUCUGCAAUUUAACCAGUACACUCACGUAUCACUUAUUGUAUAUUUCCUGGUCUCUCAGGAAUUUCUAUUAAAUAGCGUAUCCCCUUCCCAGGGCAAUAUACAACAAAAACUAGUCACCAAGGGUCUCUACGGUCAUGAUAGGCCACCCUACCACUAGUGUAAUACGCCCUUUUUUUUAAAAUAUAUUUCCUGGUCUCUCAGAGAUUUUGCCUAUCC